rnacentral:siRNA from 1 species
AACCCUAGGUGCUGGUGGCGG